rnacentral:rRNA from 1 species
CGCCGCGUGAGGGAUGACGGCCUUCGGGUUGUAAACCUCUUUCAGCAGGGAAGAAGCGAAAGUGACGGUACCUGCAGAAGAAGCGCCGGCUAACUACGUGCCAGCAGCCGCGGUAAUACGUAGGGCGCAAGCGUUGUCCGGAAUUAUUGGGCGUAAAGAGCUCGUAGGCGGCUUGUCACGUCGGAUGUGAAAGCCCGGGGCUUAACCCCGGGUCUGCAUUCGAUACGGGCUAGCUAGAGUGUGGUAGGGGAGAUCGGAAUUCCUGGUGUAGCGGUGAAAUGCGCAGAUAUCAGGAGGAACACCGGUGGCGAAGGCGGAUCUCUGGGCCAUUACUGACGCUGAGGAGCGAAAGCGUGGGGAGCGAACAGGAUUAGAUACCCUGGUAGUCCAAGGG